rnacentral:rRNA from 1 species
UACGUAGGGGGCGAGCGUUGUCCGGAUUUAUUGGGCGUAAAGAGCUCGUAGGCGGUUUGGUAAGUCGGGUGUGAAAUCUCCACGCUCAACGUGGAGGGGCCACUCGAUACUGCCAUGACUCGAGUCCGGUAGAGGAAGGCGGAAUUCUCGGUGUAGAGGUGAAAUUCGUAGAUAUCGAGAGGAACACCGGUGGCGAAGGCGGCCUUCUGGACAGUGACUGACGCUGAGACGCGAAAGCGUGGGGAGCAAACAGG